rnacentral:lncRNA from 1 species
GCGGGAGGCUGUGGCGUUUGUCCACAGCCUGGGGCAGUGGCAUUGCAGCCUCCCAGCCUCGCCUCUCCUGCCCUUCCAGCCUCCAGGAGCCUGGGAGUCCCAGGUGGCUCCUCGGGACAAGGCCAAGACCGAUGCCAGAGGACCAGAGUGGUGUGAAGGAGGCACUGGGUGCAAAACUUAAGGAGCUCCAGAAAACCCCACAGAAAUCCAGAUGAUUAAUAUUUUGAGGCAAGAUUUUAAGAAAGCAAACAAUGCCAGAAGAUUCGGUUGUGGACAACAUAUCAAAAUUUUAAAGACAAGAUCAGUAGCAGCUGGGCUGAGGGAGGCUGCAGCCAAGGAAAACUCAAGAGUAGGAUCCCAUUUUAGUUAAAAUGUUGGUAUUUUGUCUACCACGGAUCGUUCUCCACGAUUUUAAAGCGGUGCCUGGAUGCUUUAUUGGGAUGUAAUUUAUAUCGUACAGUUCACCCAUUUAAAGUGUCCAAUUCAGUGGUUUUCAGAAUAUUCAAACUCAUGCAACUAUCGCCACAGCAAUUUGGGAACAUUUUCAUCACCUCUAGAAAAUUCCCUGGACCCACUAGCAGCCUCUUCCGUUCAUUUCAAUUUCCCCAGCCCUGGGCAACCACUAAUCCUUCUGUCUCUAUGGAUUUGCCUAUUCUGGAUAUUUCGUAUAAAUGGACCCAUACGAUAUGUGGUCUCUGGUGUGUGGCUUUUUCACUUAAGCAUAAUGUUUUCAAGGUUGAUCCUUGCGGUAGCAUGCAACAGUGCUUCACGCCUGUAUCCUGCCCAGUAAUAUUCCAUUGUAGGGAUAAGCCACAUUUUCUUUGUCCGUUCCUCCGCAGAUGGACGUUUGGGUUGUUUCUACUUUUUGGCCAUAAUGAAUAAUGCUGUUACAGACAUUCAUGUACAAGUUUUUGUGUGGACAUUUGUUUUCAUUUCUCUUGGGCAUAUACCUAGAGUAGAAUUUCUGAGUCAUAUGGUAACUCCACGUUUAACCGUUUGAGGCAUUGCCGGACUGUUUUCCAAAGUGGCCCCACCCUGUUACAAUCCCACCAGCGAUGUAGGAAGCCUCCAGUUUCUCCACAUCUUCACCAGCACUUGCUAUUCCCUGUCUUUUGGAUUAUAGCUUUCCUAGUGGGUCUGAAGUGGUAUCUCAUGUUGGUUUCGAUUUACCUUUCCCUAACGGUUAAUGAUGUUGAGCAUUUUUUCACCUGCUUUUUAGACAUUUGUGUAUCUUUCCUGGAGAAAUGUCUGUUCAAACCUUUUGCCCAUUUUUCAAACAUUUUAAUUAUGUUUUGUAUAAAUGGCAUCACACUGCGUUUAUUGUUCUGACUUGCUUCUUUGCAAUUGACAGUAUGCUCUGGAGCUCUUUCCACGAUCUUUAGAGAGCUACCUCACUGUUUUUAAGCAGCUCGUCAAAGUUUCAUAGUGUGGCUGUGCUAUAAGUAUUUAUCCAAUCUCUGAUUGAUGGAUAUUUAUGUUUUGUCAAAAAUUUGUUCUGUUACGAAACAAGGUAAUAAACAUCCUUAGACACAUCUCUGUAUACCCAAGUGGAUCUUUUUGAAAAAUAAAGUCCUAGGAGUGGAAUUGCUGGGUCGAAAUGUUUUGUUUCAACACGUAUUAACAAAUUGUUCUUCAAACAUUUAACUCACGGGCACCUUUACCAGCAUCGUGUGAGAAUGCCUGUUCAAUUGUGUGCUUACCAACACUUGAUAUUAUCUAUCUCUUUAAUUUUUGCCAAUUUGUCAGGCAAAAAAAAAUUCCACUGUUGUUUUAAUUUUCAUUUGCCUGAUUGCUGUGUGAACUUUAAAAAAUAUAAUUAUUGACCCUUUUCAUUUUUUCUUCUGUGAAAUCUAUUUGUAUCUUUUGUCCAUCUUUCUAAUGGACUGUUUUUCUGUAUUCUGGAUGUGGAUCAUUUUUCUCCCAGCCUGUUGCUGGUGUUUUGUCACACAGAAAUGUUCAAUUUCGACGUCAUAAAGAGUGUAACCCUCUUCCUUUUGAUUUCUUGGUUUCUCUUGUUUUUCCUACCGCAAGGUUGUGAAAACAUUUCCCUCUAAUAUUUUCAUAUUAAAAAAUGAAUAGAGAGAUACAUUUGGGAUGUCAUGACAAUAUUGAAAUAAAA